GAAAAUUUUCUCAAGAGUAGUACUUUUUUUUCUCAGUGCAAAGUAAAAUUUUAAUUUAGCGGUUCUUUGGAGAUUGAAAAGGUUAAAUCAGUAGUCGUGGAAACGAAAUGGAUAAAAGAAAUUGGCAAACAAAAAUCGUCAUCAUCGAGGUGGGUCAGUAGGUCGCCGCCAUGUUAAUUACUUGGAAUCCAUCAGCUCUCCCACCGUCAGAUAAAUAUAUCUAUAUAUAUUACUUUAUACAUAUACAGCAUAUUGCAGUAAAACAUUCUCCCUUUCAAACUCGUCUCUUACUCUCUUGCAGCGAACCCAGAUCUUUCUUCUCAUAAUGAUAAUCCUCAUCUUGUGAACGAUGAGCGACGACGAGUUUGGAGUUUGGUGAGAUCCGGACUCUCUUUUCUUCGAGCUCCGAGAUGUCUCUUGGCUACUAUUGCCUCUUUUUAAUCAACCUCUUCACUGAAAAGCAUCGGCUAUCUUAGCCCCAAAGAGAUUAAUGACGAGCCUAUCCAUGCGACGAUGCACCAAGAGUUUCUAUUUCUCGGAAGCGGAUUUCCGCAUGCAGCCUGCCAAUUCAAUGAGAAACUUUUGAUAUAAUAAAAAAAGAAAAAAAAACCAGUAAUGCUACUUUUUAUUAGUAACUUUUGCCAAUACUUAAAGGCUUCUGUCAAGUAAAUAAACAACAGUAAAGCGCAGAUACUUUCUUCACUUCUUACAUAAAAUUUCUUCUCGGCACAUGUAUUUAUUGCGUAAUAAGAAAAGAACGUUACAUAACUUUCGAGAUUUUUAAAUCAGCGAAGAAUCUUCUUAUAAUCUCUUCUUAAACUCAGUCACCAGAUGAUUCCAUUGAAAUUUAAACGCAAGGUCUAAUGACUUAAGCAAUGCUUGGGUACAAAACCACAGGCCGACUUUAUAAACGCAUAUUUAGCAUUCCUAUCUCUCGUAUUUACUCCUAAGACACGCCUCUCUAUCCUUCCUUAUGCUUUAGACGGUGAACAGCAUACCCAUAUAAUGCCCUACGCACAACACUACAACAGCCUUUUUUUCUACGCUCAUAUUCUUACCAAGGGUUAUAAUCGCUGCAACAGAUACCUACAUCGUGCGAUGUAAACAACUUAAUAACACGAUGAAAAAAUUUAUCGCUGAAUUCUUGUCUAUCCGAUGUGCUGAUGAAGCGGAUCCUUGUGAAGAUAUGAAAGAAUUUUUAUAAUUAAUAAAAUGCUAAUAUUUAUUAUUCAAACAAGAAGAUCCAGCAUGUAAAAGUAAUUAUUAGUUAAAUAGAAAAAUAUAAAAUAAAAGUGACGUUAAUGCGUGACUGCAUUUUAUUCGCCUAGGAGUCUUCGAUUAGAAUAACGGGAGACACGAAUGCUUGGUAAGUAGUGUGAUUCCCCACGGAUGAUUUGCCUCAAGCUUUUAAUGCCGAAAGAUCCUUUACUCGCUUAUUAUUACAGCUUCUUAUUAUUAUUAUUAUUAUUAUU
rnacentral:lncRNA from 1 species